GUUUCCGUAGGUGAACCUGCCGCUGGAUCAUUAC
rnacentral:rRNA from 2 species